rnacentral:rRNA from 1 species
ACGGCUCAGUAACACGUCAUUAAUCUGCCCUUAGGUCAGGCAUAACCUCGGAAACCUGAGGCUAACACCUGAUAGGAAAUUGGUCCUGGAAUGGUCUUUUUCUGAAAGAUUACGCCUAAGGAUGAGAUGGCGGCAGAUUAGCUUGUUGGUGGGGUAAAGGCCCACCAAGGCUGCGAUCUGUAGGGGCCUUGARAGAGGUAGCCCCGAGAAGGGUACUGAGACACUGACCCUAGCCCUACGGGGUGCAGCAGGCGCGAAACCUUUACAAUGCACUAACGUGUGAUAAGGGGACUCUAAGUGCUCAUACAUUGUAUGGGCUUYUGCAUAGGGUAAAUACCUAUGCGAAUAAGUGGUGGGAAAGACUGGUGCCAGCCGCCGCGGUAACACCAGCGCCACGAGUGGGAAUCGUAAUUAUUGGGCCUAAAGCGUCCGUAGCCGGCUUGUUAAAUUUCCUGUGAAAUUAUCCAGCUUAACUGGAUAGCGUGCAGGAAAGACUGGCAAGCUAGGGACCGGGAGGAGCGUGAGGUAUUCCUUGGGGAGCGGUAAAAUGUUAUAAUCCUUGGAAGACCACCUGUGGCGAAGGCGUCACGCUAGAACGGAUCCGACGGUGAGGGACGAAAGCUAGGGUAGCAAUCCGGAUUAGAUACCCGAGUAGUCCUAGCUGUAAACGCUGCGAGCUAGGUGUUGCACAUUCUUCGAGAAUGUGCAGUAUCGAAGCGAAGGUGAUAAGCUCGCCGCCUGGGGAGUACGGUCGCAAGGCUGAAACUUAAAGGAAUUGGCGGGGGAGCACAACAAGGGGUGCGGCGUGCGGUUUAAUUGAACUCAACGCCGGAAAUCUCACCAGCAGCGACGGCAGAAUGAAGGUCAGAUUGAAGGUUUUACCUGACAAGCCGAGAGGAGGUGCAUGGCC